UCAGUGUUAAGUGGUUGUAUUUGGGGGCCUGGAACGGAUUAAUCCUAUAACGAACAAAUGCUAUAACGAACAAGGUUCUAGAACCAAUUAGAUUCGUUAUAGCAUACCCCACUGUAUUGCUUUUCAAGUUUGUUUUCAAUUUGAAGUAUUGAAGGUCAUUUUACCAAUCAAGUAAAGUCCCCUUCACUAGUGCAUUUACAGGGACUCGUCAGGUUUUGUGUAGUGUGGCAGCUCUAUGUUUGUUUACAUUAGACGGAAGGAAACUCGCAAUAGUAAACAUAUUAUGGAUUCAAAGUAAAACAAUUUUAAAAUAAGUGUCUUAAUGUAAAGAUUGGAAUGUUUAUAUAAUGAGCCCCUGUAAAUGUACCAGUGAAGGUGGACUGUACUUCUUCAAUUCUGUCGGUCAUCAUUGAAAUGUCAAGUUGAAGUCUUGUGGUAGUGAGAAACUCCUGAAUGGAAUAUUAGUCAUUCAAGGAAACUUUGUGAUAAGUUAGCUAUACAUAUAUCAAACCUAUGUUUGUAUGUUUUAGCCCAAGUACUGUAUCAUAUUCUUCCUGGUUAUGUAUUUAUCUAGUCCUUCAUCUUGUGUCUCAUGUGAACCUUUGGUAGAUACACAGGAGGUGUUACAUGACUGGUUAAUUGUAGUGAGAGGAUUUUUUUAGUACACAAUAUGGCAACAAAAAAAUACAAGCUCUUAAUAUUGAUAAUUAUUAAUCAUACCUCAGCUGUGGGUAGAUUUUUAUGAUUAUGCCUCGUCAAGAAAUCCCUUGCAAUAAUAUUUUAGUCUCGUCGGAGUGUACAUUAUAACUUAAGUGUUGUGUAGUUGUUUUAUUUAUGAAGAUAUUAGUGUAAGAAAUUAAUUCCUUUUGUAAUGAAAUUAUUGUGAAUCUCUCUCCUCCAGUUUUUUUUCCGAGACUCAACAGAAAAUUCUAGCGUUUUAUGGUAAAUCAGAAAAUAAAAACAAAAGUCUCAUAGUUGGUUUGGAUAACAAGAGUUAAUAUUGCAGAGUCCUUCUUCUGUGUCUUUGUCUUCAUAUAUGAUGCAGGAGGAGGAAGGGGAUUUAGGGCAAUCCAGCUCUUGUUAUAUGAUUAUGUAAUUGAUCCACUCUGUGCUUGAAUAACUUUACUUAGUAACACACUUACUCAAGUGCCAUAACAUUUUCUGGGUGAGUUAACUUUAUAUAGAGGAAUUACUCUAUACUUGAAGCUAAUAAUACUAAUCUGAAGCAGGAGUAAGGCAAGUCUGCUGGUUAUUAUUAUUGACUGUGUUGUGUCCAGAGCUCUGUAGCUACGCAACUCCUAAGAGGAAUUUGGCUUGACCCUUUAACAUGAGCCAUCAUCAGUGGAAGUUAACUGUAGGGAUGGCAGUCAUCGUCAGUGGAUAUUUAAUAUUCCUUGUGUUCCAUUUAUGCAUAUAUAGCUUCUCCAGCAUUGGACGUGUUGUUGAUGUUAUAGUUUAUCAUCAGGUUAGUCUGAACAAACACAGGUGAGGUAUAACUGUGACCAGUCUUCUUCUUGUUACUUGUGGCUUCAAAUGACUUUCUGACUGGCAGUUUCUUAAAGGUGGGCAACAGGCACAGUGUAGUCCUGCUUAAUGACUUAUAUUCUUAUGAUUUUGUCAAAUUUUUCAUUGGGUGGACUCUUGUUUUGUGGGAAGCUAUUGUCUUACUGAUGGACAAAUGUACGGUAUGAAGAGAGCAGAAGUUGUCUGUAAUUUUAGUAAAACAAAAUUACUUCACUAUUUCAUGGCUCUGAAGUCUACAAAUUUGUCAUUACUCUAUUGUCAUGACUGUAAUACUUUCAUGUUUAUUACGAGUCUGAUGGUGAUUUACUUCCAUCUGAAUUAUCGUGUUUAGUUUAACCCAAAAGUCAGUAACUGUAAGAAUAUGCAAGGUAGCAGCAGGGUAUAGUAUAGUGUAUGUUACAGUUGGUUGUAUGGAAAUAUAAGUUUGAAAUAUUAUGAAAAUCUCAAAAAGGAAUGUAUAUAUAUUGUGUGUUGCACAAUAUUAUUUACUAAUGACAAAUUGUCCGUAUUUUUUGACCAGUACCUACAUACAGUAAGAAUAAUUUUUCCUCCUGGAAUUAAAAAUCAAACAAACAAACAAACCAAACAAAACACAGGAUUGGAUUUGUUGCUGUAUGGUACAUUAUGUUGUGUAUGAUAAUUAUAGAUGCUGUGAAUUAUUCCCUAUAAUCUCAACUUAAUGUGUCUCUUUGAGUACCCAGGACAAAUGCAAUGCUUGAUGGUAGACACACUGUACUGAACGUGGCAAUACUGCUUAGCUCUCGGUGUGGAUAAUAUCAUUGGUGAGGUGAUGCUUGGCAGUGGGUAUGCUAAAUAGGAAUGUUUGAUAGGUCACUCACUGGAUAUAUGCAGGAGGUCACUCACUGGAUACAUGCAAUAGGGCACUCACUGGAUAUAUGCAAUAGGGCACUCACUGGAUAUAUGCAGUAGGUCACUCACUGGAUACAUGCAAUAGGGCACUCACUGGAUACAUGCAAUAGGUUACUCACUGGAUAUAUGAAAUAGGUCACUCACUGGAUAUGUUUGAUAAGUCACUCCCUGGAUUUGUUUAAUAGGUCACUCACUGGAUAUGUUUGAUAGGUCCCUCACUGGAUAUGUUUGAUAGGUCACUCACUGGAUAUGUUUGAUAGGUCACUCACUGGAUCACUGGAUAUGUUUGAUAGGUCACUCACUUAAUUUUUUUAUAUAUUAAGUUGUAGAGUGACAUUUUUUGAGAUUUACAAUGAUAUACAGUAAGUGAUUUUAGGAGGUAGUGGGGGGGGGGGGCAGGUUUGAUAUUGUGAAGGAGUGCGAGGUGGACCUGCUCUUGUCACCUCAGACUAUGGUGGGUAUUAUAGCAGUGAGGGAACAGUUUCUUGUGUUUACGUAAACACAAAGGGUGAAAUGACUCCUGAAAAGCCAAAAAAAAAAAGUAUAUAUAUAUAUACAGUAUAUAUUUUUUUUAAAUUUUAUAUUUCAAAAUUCUAAUAAACUCACGGACGAUUACUUUAACCCCUUGUGUACGAGGUCCUCCCCGAGCUAAAUAAAAAUUGUCUGGCAUUAGCCAUAUAAGUGGUUAAUAAUUUUAGGUAUAAUGUUAAGAUAAGAAAAAUUAAAUAUAUUUUGUUUUGAACUUCUGUUUUAACUUACUGUAUUAACAACUCACUGACACGCGCAUCAAUAAGUACCAGUACAUGGCGACCUGUGGUGUAAUGGUCAGCAUGCUUACCUCACAACUGAGUGAACCCGGGUUCAAUCCCCGGGCAGGGUGAGACUAUGGACACCUAGAAGUUAAUUGAUUUGCGGAUCGUGUUCCGGGGUAAUGGUUAGCCAGUGCAGUUGGCGAGUUGUCCGGUCUUCUUGGACUCUUCCUUGACACUGGUUUAUGCAGCUCAUUAACUUCUACACCUUAGACAAAUUCAUGUCUUGGUGACCAUCCUUGGACGUAAGGGGCAGCCAUUAUUAUAUUACAGUAUACUGUAUUAGAGACGUUAGUGAUUCAUUAACAUGUACAGUACUGCUGCUUCAGGAGGGAAGGGCAUUAAUAGAUUACAUUUUUGUUGUUAUUUGCUUAAUUAUAAGAUGCACAUGCUGUGACAUACAUAAUAUAUAAGGAAGCUAUUAAAUUGGUAUUAAUAUAUAAAGAAAUUAUAUUAAAUUAUUAAUAUAUAAAUAUGUAAGUAAAAUAAUGGCAAAUGAACCAAUGCCAACAAAAGCAGUUUACCAUAUACUGUACUGUACUGUACUGUACAAUAAUCAUCAAGUAUUGCUUCACACUGUAAUAAAGUACUUUGUAAUAAAGUACACAUUUACUGUAGUGUAUAUCAUAUUUUGUUAUAGUUCUUACCAGCAUUAAUUCCUAACUUUUUGUAAUACAUGUAUUACACUAACACAUACAGUAGUACACAUUUGCAUCAGUGUACAUUAGGUUCUUGCAAUAUUUUUCACCACUACAGUACAGUGCAAGCAUAUAACAUAAUAGGUAAUUAUCAUUCAUAAGUUAUCAUCAGCGCAGGAACAACUAGUGUCAUAACAAGGUACUACUGUAGUUUCAUUGUAUCGUAAGUCGCCCAUAAGAUACUCCAACUCCAUUACAUCUUAACCUGCUGGGAAUUAUAUACAAUAUCUGUAUCAUCUGGUGUGUAUAUGUGUGUGUAUUAAAAUAAAGUUUUCAUUAUUUCUUAAUUUUUUCAUAAUACUUUUUUCUAUAUCCGUUUCAUUUUGGUCUUAUCUUACUUGAAUGCUUUUACCAAGUCCAUCACCUCCCCAGAGACCCAACAAGUACAGUAUAUAUACAGUAUAGGGUUAGGACGAUAAGUGGGUCUGGUAAUGGUGUAAAAACCUCACUUCCAAACACACUAUACCCACACACUCACUCAAACAAGACCUCCCCUACCCCCCCUCUCUUUCCUUCUUACAACGCCUCGCCACCUCUUAACUUUACAUUUUUACCAGAACGAUCACCUUACUCGAUACUUGUCGGGUCUUUGCGAACGUAUCUGGCUGACUGUACACUGGGAAAUAACUUGUCUUCAUCAGAUAUAAUCAUACGAGGCCACAAUAAUAACAACAAUAACAACAGUGUUUAUUUCAUGCCAUAUCAGGUGAUUUUUUUUUAAAUGAUCCAAUGCCCUAUUAGACCCCAGUUCUAAUAGACCCCAAGCUAACCUAAUCUCUAAUCAAGUUAAUUAUUAAAUGGUCCCCAGUCCUAACAGAUCCCAAUCUAACCUAAUCUCAUCAAUAGUUACCAUCCGUAAUGGAUAACUAAUUCCACUGAAUACUGAACUUAAUAGUGACUGUAACUAAACAGUAGUAUAAUGAGUAACUAAAUACAUAAAUAAUCAUAUAUCAAACAGGAAAGGAAGGGAAAACUCAACACAAGAGAAAGUAAUAAGCUGCAUCGAAGUAUUAACAAUCGUGUACGUAUUGGUAAUCAGUCCUUCAUUAAUGGUACGUUAUUUUCUUGGUAUGGGUAAUAGUAGGUGAAGGCUCUUACAGUGAGUUAUGGCAUUAAGUUAGGUUUUAUGUAAGGUACGGGUAGCUUGUUUCGUUUAACCUCACAGAAAACCGUGUGAGGUUGGUGGAAAGGUGGGGGGGGUUUAUGUGAGGUACAGGCAGCUUGUUUAUUUUCACCUCAGAAAACAGUCAAGGCUGGUGUAAGGGGAAGGGCUGGGGGUAUGUGUUUAUUUCUUCAUAAAUUAAACAAUUCUUCAUACACAUAACAGUAGUUUCUAUCAUAAUAAACAAGUUUAUCUUUCACUUUAAUGGGUUUCAAAUGUUACAAAUGUCUUCCAUAUAUAUUUUUAAUUUCUGUGUUUAGUAUUAUUUAAUUGGUAUUGUUCUAUUUAAUCUGUUUUUUAAUUAAUUAUAUUGUAAUCCCAAGUUAGUAAAACAUGAAUCUCAUAUGAAUAAAUCCUCAAUCAAAUUAUAAUGCUCUUUUAAAAUAAAAGUUGAAUUUUUGUACCCUCAACAGUGUGGGUUACAGACUGCUUCAUGUAGAUUCCAUUAGGAUUAUUCUUAUAAGUUUGAUCAGUGCUUGUGUGGUCCACUGGCCCAGAUGACUGUUUCUGUAAGCAGAUUGUAGAACUGUGUCUGUUGUGGUUAUUGUCAAAACUGCUCUUAUGGAUAAUACUGUAUCAUUACUGUAUGUUAUUGUACUCUGAAAUAAUGUACAGUACAGUCACCCACAGAAAGUCGUGUCGCAUUCUCCUCCUGUACCAUGAACCCUGAGAUUCAGACUCGUGAACCUGAAGCAUUUAUUGUGGACAGAAUAAUGCAUCGGUGUGUGCUGCUUCGGGGUUCAUAGUACAGGAGGAGAGGUUACGGGACCUCUUGUGGGUGACUGUGUAUACGGCCUGUGUUGAUGCCAUCUUUAUUAUCACAGAAUAUUAUUGUCUAUGGUACAAUUAUUCAUAUUUAACUAUGUUUUUGUGGUUUUCAUUAAUCGUCUUCAAAUGUAGUUUUACAUUUAUGCAUUUGUACUACUUGAAAUGUAUAAAAAUGAAAUACUGUAUAUAAGUACAUACAGUAUAUUACACUUGUCAACACACACACACAUUCCCUUUACUCUCACAGGUAUACACACACAAACAUUCCUCUAUGCACAGAACUUAUAUUACAUCCCAUAAUCUCAUUCUUCAGUAAUACAUAUAGAGACAAGUGCGACAACUAGCGACUGCACUUUGCCACAUCCCAUUGUUGUGAAUCAUCUGACAGACGUUCACUCAUCUAUGCCACCUUUCAUUGCUUCAUUGACCCACGUUGCUGUAGAUUUAUAAAGUCUGUAUUUUCUUUUUCUAGGAGCAGUAUAAAAAAUUCAAAAUGACAAAUUAUAUUUAAAAUGUAUAUUUUAAUUAGUUUUUUGUAUUUUUAAAUUCUUUUCCAUAAAAAUUUGUAAAAAUUUU